CAGCAGCCGCGGUAAGACAGAGGAUGCAAGCGUUAUCUAGAAUGAUUGGGCAUAAAGCAUCUGUAGGUGGCUUUCAAGUCCACCAUCAAAUCCCAGGGCUCAGCCCUAGACAGGCAGUGGAAACUACCAAGCUGGAGUAUGGUAGGGGCAGAGGGAAUUUUUGGUGGAGCAGUGAAAUGCGUUGAGAUCAGAAAGAACACCAAUGGAAAAACCACUCUGAUGGGCUGACACUAACACUAAGUGAUGAAAGCUAGGGGAGAAAAUGGGAUUAGAGACCCCAGUAGUCCCUGUCUCUUAUACA
rnacentral:rRNA from 1 species